CCGUGCCAGCAGCCGCGGUAAUACGGAGGAUGCGAGCGUUAUCCGGAUUUAUUGGGUUUAAAGGGUGCGUAGGCGGAAAAAUAAGUCAGUGGUGAAAACCUUCAGCUUAACUGGAGACUUGCCAUUGAUACUGUUAUUCUUGAGUGUGGUUAAGGUAGGCGGAAUGUGUAAUGUAGCGGUGAAAUGCUUAGAUAUUACACAGAACACCGAUUGCGAAGGCAGCUUACUGAGCCAUAACUGACGCUGAUGCACGAAAGCGUGGGGAGCGAACAGGAUUAGAUACCCUGGUAGUCCACGCCGUAAACGAUGAUCACUCGCUGUUGGCGAUACACAGUCAGCGGCUAAGCAAAAGCAUUAAGUGAUCCACCUGGGGAGUACGGCCGCAAGGCUGAAACUCAAAGGAAUUGACGGGGGCCCGCACAAGCGGAGGAACAUGUGGUUUAAUUCGAUGAUACGCGAGGAACCUUACCUGGGCUUAAAUGUAUAGUGCAUUUCACCGAAAAGUGAAUUUCCUUCGGGACUCUAUGCAAGGUGCUGCAUGGUUGUCGUCAGCUCGUGCCGUGAGGUGUCGGGUUAAGUCCCAUAACGAGCGCAACCCUUAUCGUUAGUUGCCAGCGGGUAAUGCCGGGAACUCUAGCGAAACUGCCGGUGUAAACCGAGAGGAAGGUGGGGAUGACGUCAAAUCAGCACGGCCCUUAUGUCCAGGGCUACACACGUGUUACAAUGGCCGGUACAGAGGGCAGCUACCUGAUGACAGGGUGCGAAUCUCGAAAGCCGGUCUCAGUUCGGAUCGGAGUCUGCAACUCGACUCC
rnacentral:rRNA from 1 species